GGAGCCCGACGGCCGCCGCCCGCCGCCCGCGGAGCCCCGCGGCCGUGGCUCAGCCGCGCGGGGCGGAGGGAUUUUUUUUCCCGUGGCAUUCGCUCGGUUCAGAGCCGGUGGUCGCCGACUCUGCGUGGAGAAACUCUCUCUUACCCUCUCACGCCGCUCGUGAUUUCUUGGACGCCAUCUCACGUGCCACCCCGCCCACCCACGAGGUGUUCGACGUUAUGGCGCCGAAGAGGGUGCGGGCCAACAAGCGGGCAGCGUCGGCGCGCCGUCGAGCGCCACGAGCCAUGAAGCCUACCACCCUGCCCUGCGCCCACCCAAAGACGAGCGCCGCUUCAACCAAACCAACGAUCACCUAUCCAUGAAAACGCAAUCGGAGAUACGCAGGCGCUACUGUGCGCUGCUUGCUGCUUGGCAAGAGAAAAGUCGCAGGAGAAAGAUGCAACGACAAGCAACAUGGAGACCUCAGGAUACUCGGGCGAGCUGGCUGAUGGAUGCUGUUUCUGCAUGAACUGAACAUGGCUCGGUGAAACGUCUGGCGCCUUUUGCAGCUCUGCCGAACUCAAUCGAUCGCCUCGUUGACAUGCGACCACGCAUGCCCUCUCACGAACGACGACACAGCAGAUUGAUUCCUCUGAAAGGAGAUCGACUUUUUCAACGAUCUCCCAGCUGGAAAGAUGGUCUCUCUGAGCAGCUGGUUGGGCGCCUCGUUUGCACCCGUGCUGCUCCAAGCCUGCAUGAGAAAAGGCGUGGCUGAUGCACCCGUGCACAUGGUGACUUGUUAGGCAUUUUUUUGGGGUCCAUCAAAGAAAAUAGAAGAACGAGCAUAACAAAAGGAGGGGGAACGAGCAUAACAAAAGGAGGCGUCCAGAGGAAUCCUUAAAAGAUUUGAGUCAUGGUAACAACUGAACGACAAACCACUUGGCCACUUGGAAAUCAUCUGAACAGACUGUAAAAAGUACUGACAAACGUUUGACACUUCUUACUUAUAACCUAGAGGACUUGUGUAGCAUGUUGUGGUGUUAAUUGCAUAAGUUUUUUUUUUGUAAUUGGUUGUGUGCAUCUCAGUAAGGCAGAGGCGGGGGUAAACUCUUAUGCGGUUGUACCAGCUUGAUAAA